rnacentral:tRNA from 1 species
CACUAUAUUAAUUUUAUGGUUAAAAUGAUUAAUUGCAAAUUAAUUUUAAAGGGUUCGAUUCCCUAUAUAGUGU